UGCAGGUGUAUAUAAUGAUCUAUAAACAGUCUUAUCGUUCGUAUGUGAUAACAUCAGUUAUAAUUUCAUUUAUAACCCUGCUGUAUAGCGUGUUUAUGCUCGAAAAAAAUUAUUGGAUCCACAAAAUCGUCGUGGACCGUCCCAGCAUACAGCCAUGUUUUCCAAGUAAAUCUACAGUUAUUUUCGUCCUUUGGCAAUCGUUUCUCAUUUUGGGUAGACUCUCAGCAAUUAUAUUGAACGUGAUUGUAUUUAGCGGUUCAAUUUCUAUUAUUAUCUGUGUUCAUUGGAUAAUCGUAGUUCUAGCUCUAAUGUUUUCUGUGACAGACAUAACGGC